AUUGAACGCUGGCGGCAUGCUUUACACAUGCAAGUCGAACGGUAACAGGCCGCAAGGUGCUGACGAGUGGCGAACGGGUGAGUAAUGCAUCGGAACGUGCCCAGUCGUGGGGGAUAACGCAGCGAAAGCUGCGCUAAUACCGCAUACGAUCUAUGGAUGAAAGCGGGGGACCGUAAGGCCUCGCGCGAUUGGAGCGGCCGAUGUCAGAUUAGGUAGUUGGUGAGGUAAAGGCUCACCAAGCCGACGAUCUGUAGCUGGUCUGAGAGGACGACCAGCCAAACUGGGACUGAGACACGGCCCAGACUCCUACUGGAGGCAGCAGUGGGGAAUUUUGGACAAUGGGGGCAACCCUGAUCCAGCAAUGCCGCGUGCAGGAAGAAGGCCUUCGGGUUGUAAACUGCUUUUGUACGGAACGAAACGGCUCUGGUUAAUACCUGGGGCUAAUGACGGUACCGUAAGAAUAAGCACCGGCUAACUACGUGCCAGCCGCCGCCGUAAUAC
rnacentral:rRNA from 1 species